GCCCGCAAGGGUGGGUGGCGAGUGGCGGACGGGUGAGGAAUACAUCGGAAUCUACCCCGUUGUGGGGGAUAACCCAUCGAAAGGUGGGCUAAUACCGCAUAAGACGGAGACGUGAAAGCGGGGGACCUGCAAGGGCCUCGCGCGAUGGGAUGAGCCGAUGUCGGAUUAGCUAGUUGGCGGGGUAAGAGCCCACCAAGGCGACGAUCCGUAGCUGGUCUGAGAGGAUGAUCAGCCACACUGGGACUGAGACACGGCCCAGACUCCUACGGGAGGCAGCAGUGGGGAAUAUUGGACAAUGGGCGCAAGCCUGAUCCAGCAAUGCCGCGUGUGUGAAGAAGGCCUUCGGGUUGUAAAGCACUUUUAUCGGGAGCGAAAAGCGACGGGCGAAUAACCCGGCGUCAUGACGGUACCCGAGGAAUAAGCACCGGCUAACUUCGUGCCAGCAGCCGCGGUAAUACGAAGGGUGCAAGCGUUAGUCGGAAUUACUGGGCGUAAAGCGUGCGUAGGCGGUUUGUUAAGUCGGAUGUGAAAGCCCCGGGCUCAACCUGGGAAUGGCACUCGAUACUGGCAAGCUGGAGUACGGUAGAGGAUGGUGGAAUUCCCGGUGUAGCGGUGAAAUGCGUAGAGAUCGGGAGGAACAUCUGUGGCGAAGGCGGCCAUCUGGACCAGUACUGACGCUGAGGCACGAAAGCGUGGGGAGCAAACAGGAUUA
rnacentral:rRNA from 1 species